rnacentral:rRNA from 1 species
UUGAAAGGGAAACGAUUGAAGUCAGUCGUACCGGCGGGUAAUCAGCCUUUUGGGUGUGAUUAUGUGGAGCGUGAGGAGCUAAUCGCCUUCAUCUUUGCAUAUUCGUGCACUUUGGGUGUACUUGCUCGUGUGGUAGGUUAACAUCAAUUUUGAUCAUCAUAAAGUGAUUGAAGGAAUGUAGCUUCGAUCUCGUAUUGAAGUGUUAUAGCCUUUGGUAGAUGUGAUGAUCGGGAUUGAGGAUUGCAACGGAUANNUUCGGGGCUACCUGUCUGAUCUCUGAAAGUUGCUCUGGUGCCGAAAGCUUGCUUACGGUUAUCAAAGUCGACGUUCAAUAGGUUAGAACGGGAUAAAUUCGUUAAAGAUGUUGACGUA